rnacentral:piRNA from 1 species
UUGUAUGUUGGAGCAUCUUUUGGGU